rnacentral:rRNA from 1 species
UACGAACCGUCCAAACGUUAUUCGGAAUUACUGGGCUUAAAGGGUGCGUAGGCGGCGCGGAAAGUUGGGUGUGAAAUCCCUCGGCUCAACCGAGGAACUGCGCCCAAUACUACCGUGCUUGAGGGAGAUAGAGGUGAGCGGAACUUAGGGUGGAGCGGUGAAAUGCGUUGAUAUCCUAAGGAACACCGGUGGCGAAAGCGGCUCACUGGAUCUCUUCUGACGCUGAGGCACGAAAGCUAGGGUAGCGAACGGG